rnacentral:rRNA from 1 species
UACGUAGGGUGCAAGCGUUAAUCGGAAUUACUGGGCGUAAAGCGUGCGCAGGCGGUUAUGCAAGACAGAUGUGAAAUCCCCGGGCUCAACCUGGGAACUGCAUUUGUGACUGCAUGACUAGAGUACGGCAGAGGGGGGAUGGAAUUCCGCGUGUAGCAGUGAAAUGCGUAGAUAUGCGGAGGAACACCGAUGGCGAAGGCAAUCCCCUGGGCCUGUACUGACGCUCAUGCACGAAAGCGUGGGGAGCAAACAGG